AUACGGAGGGUGCAAGCGUUAUCCGGAAUCACUGGGUUUAAAGGGUGCGUAGGCGGCCUGGUAAGUCAGAGGUGAAAUACACGAGCUUAACUGGUGAAUUGCCUUUGAAACUAUCAAGCUAGAAUUAUGUUGAGGUCAGCGGAAUGAGUCAUGUAGCGGUGAAAUGUAUAGAUAUGACUUAGAACACCAAUUGCGUAGGCAGCUGGCUGGGCAUUGAUUGACGCUGAGGCACGAAAGCGUGGGGAGCGAACAGGAUUAGAAACCCCAGUAGUCC
rnacentral:rRNA from 1 species